UUCAGAAAAUUAAUUUUGCAAAUUUACAAUUAAAACGACCUACAGCUCUGCAAUUUUGGCCAACAACAAAAACUGUACAUAUUUUCCACAAUGGAAAAUAGAAGGAGAAUAAAGGGAAAAGAAAUACCUGGUCCUGUAGCAACAAGGCCCUCAUCGUUACCGCUGAACAAACCGCCUGCUUCUGGGUACAAACCUUGGAGAUGAUGGUCAAAACACAAUGUUCUCGUGAAAUUACUACCUCAAAACGUCAUCAUUGUUGGUUCGGUACUUCAAACAUGUUUUUUGAUACUCACAUGUACGAAAGUUUUGUAUAAAAAAAUGAGAUAUUUUGAAAUUAUUUUUAAGCGUGUGUGUGUUCUAUAUUAAGCGCGUAAUAUUUGUAAUAAAUUAAAACGCUGUGAAUUGUGUUAAUGUUUCAUUGUUGCAUUUAUUGAUAUUUUUAUUAUUUCUACAAGUAUCAAUUAUGACAAACGCUUAAAUAGUGAAUAUUUCCUAAAUUAAAAAAAAUAUGCUGUCUAUUUUUUCAAAAAUGUGUAAACAGCAAUUUUUAAUUCACGUUUAUUCUCAAAAUUUGUUACAUUUUUGAAGUUAUGUUCUAGCGUAAUAACUAGAUUGUUUUACUGGUUCUGAAUAUGUUUUGAACAAUUAUUUUAUAGUCAUCCAACAGGGAUAUUUUUGCAUGAACUUUGUACGUAAAGCAGGGUAAACAAAAUUUGCUUACUAUGCUUUUAUAAAACAAAAUUUAGUUAUUUUUCCAUUAUAUUGUUGUUAUAAGUAAAAUCAAUUAAAUCUAUGUGAAGACACCAAAAUUAAAAAAUUUUGUACUAGUCAAAUAAAGGAAACCAUUUUUCUAAACAAAAAGAAAUUGCAAAUGUAAACUGUUGUCAGCUUAAACAUAAGUAUAAUAAAUAAGUUUUCAAUCAAACUGAAGAAAUUUCUUAUGAACAUCAAAGAAUUUAUGAUUUUUUUACAAUCAGGUGAUUAAAUAGCCAAUUGGUUGAAUUAUAUACAAUAAAUGCACAAUUUUUACAAAGAAAAGUGAUAAUCAUCUGGUCAAUAGAGAAUACAGGUGCCUUACCACUAAAUUAAGGAAUGUCCACUUUCGGCCUAGUAUGGCUGGUAAAUGUACAACAUUGUGACAGAUUAUACCCAAUUACAUUUCAUCUUUAAUUA